rnacentral:rRNA from 1 species
UGGUGGAGUGAUUUGUCUGCUUAAUUGCGAUAACGAACGAGACCUUAACCUGCUAAAUAGUUAGGCUAACCUUCAUGGUUGGUCGUCAACUUCUUAGAGGGACUAUCAAAGCUAAUUUGAUGGAAGUUUGAGGCAAUAACA